UGUGAAUCUGCUUGUCACAUGUUCAGACUCAGUGUCCAUCCGAAAGGAAUUGCUGGUGGCCCUCAAACAUGUUCUUGGAACAGACUUCAAGAGGGGUUUGUUUCCCCUUAUUGACACUCUUUUGGAAGAAAGGGUCCUUGUUGGAACUGGCCGUGCAUGCUUUGAGACAUUGAGGCCUUUGGCUUACAGCCUAUUGGCGGAGAUUGUUCACCAUGUCAGGGGGGAUCUUUCUUUGUCCCAGUUAUCACGAAUAAUUUACCUUUUCUCAAGCAACAUGCAUGAUGCUUCUUUGUCGCUCAGCAUCCAUACCACAUGUGCCCGUUUGAUGUUAAAUCUGGUGGAACCAAUUUUUGAGAAAGGUGUCGACCAGCAAUCCAUGGAUGAAGCAAGGAUUUUGUUGGGUCGGAUUUUGGAUGCUUUUGUCGGCAAAUUCAACACGUUUAAACGUACAAUUCCGCAGUUACUCGAAGAGGGGGAGGAUGUGAAAGGUCGAUCAACA
rnacentral:misc_RNA from 1 species